GCCGCACAGGGCCGCGUGAUUUCCGGUCCUGAAUCCCAGCCACGUUCCUGAGCGGGAGCUGGCUCUGGGCCAGGGAACCGCUUCAACUGAGGUAUUCGAGCCACAUGGAAAGAAAUAAUGUAGCUCAGUCAUGGUGGCAGCAUCGGAGGCGAAUUUGGGUUCCUGUGGAUUCUGCAUCAUCAAGGUGGUCCUAGCACUGACUCAUGGCUGCUGCGGCGGAGGCAAGUUUGGGUUCCUGGCAGCAUCUGCGUCCGUGUCCAGGGCAGAUUCGUGGAGGUGGUGCUGGAGGUGAGUUUGGGCCCAGUAAGAGACCCGGCUGCAUUGGCAAGGUGGGCCUGAAGUGGAUUUGUGGCAGUGGUGGAGUCAAGUUUGGGGUGGUGUGGUACCUGCAAGCAUCAGUGGCAUCUGCAUUAGCAAGGUCCAUCGAGGAUUCAUAGUGGCCAGGGCAUCAGUGGAGGCGAAAUGGUAUUGAAGACUUUCAUUUCAGCAGUGGUGCAGCGAGGAAAACUUGUGCCUGAUUAUCAGGCCCAUGAUGGAGCAGUUAACAAGAAGGACUGUAAAGUUGAACACUUUUUCUUUGUUUCUUCAUCUUUCUGCCUUUACGUUCGAUGUUCUUGUUUAUUUUUCUGUGUUUUAAGAUGGUGCUGUAAAGUGGCAACGCUAUACAACACAUUUCGCUGUAUUUUGUAACAAAAUACAUGUGACAAUAAAUAAAUUAAAAUCAAA